CAGUAGCCGCGGGAAUACGUAGGUGGCAAGCGUUGUCCGGAAUUAUUGGGCGUAAAGCGCGCGCAGGUGGUUUAAUAAGUCUGAUGUGAAAGCCCACGGCUCAACCGUGGAGGGUCAUUGGAAACUGUUAAACUUGAGUGCAGGAGAGAAAAGUGGAAUUCCUAGUGUAGCGGUGAAAUGCGUAGAGAUUAGGAGGAACACCAGUGGCGAAGGCGGCUUUUUGGCCUGUAACUGACACUGAGGCGCGAAAGCGUGGGGAGCAAACAGGAUUAGAUACCCGGGUAGUCCCUGUCUCUUAUAC
rnacentral:rRNA from 1 species